AUUGAACGCUGGCGGCAGGCCUAACACAUGCAAGUCGAGCGGGGUUUUCGGACCUAGCGGCGGACGGGUGAGUAAUGCGUAGGAAGCUGCCCGAUAGAGGGGGAUACCAGUUGGAAACGACUGUUAAUACCGCAUAAUGUCUACGGACCAAAGUGUGGGACCUUCGGGCCACAUGCUAUCGGAUGCGCCUACGUGGGAUUAGCUAGUUGGUGAGGUAAUGGCUCACCAAGGCGACGAUCUCUAGCUGGUUUGAGAGGAUGAUCAGCCACACUGGAACUGAGACACGGUCCAGACUCCUACGGGAGGCAGCAGGGGGGAAUACUGGACAAUGGGCGCAAGCGUGAUCCAGCCAUGCCGCGUGUGUGAAGAAGGCCUUCGGGUUGUAAAGCACUUUCAGCGAGGAGGAAGGGUGGUGUGUUAAUAUCACAUCAUUUUGACGUUACUCGCAGAAGAAGCACCGGCUAACUCUGUGCCAGCCGCCGCCGUAAAAC
rnacentral:rRNA from 1 species